rnacentral:rRNA from 1 species
CGGGCKABACACAUGCAGUCGAACGGUAGCACAGAGGAGCUUGCUCCUCGGGUGACGAGUGGCGGACGGGUGAGUAAUGUCUGGGAAACUGCCCGAUGGAGGGGGAUAACUACUGGAAACGGUAGCUAAUACCGCAUAACGUCGCAAGACCAAAGAGGGGGACCUUCGGGCCUCUUGCCAUCGGAUGUGCCCAGAUGGGAUUAGCUUGUUGGUGAGGUAAUGGCUCACCAAGGCGACGAUCCCUAGCUGGUCUGAGAGGAUGACCAGCCACACUGGAACUGAGACACGGUCCAGACUCCUACGGGAGGCAGCAGUGGGGAAUAUUGCACAAUGGGCGCAAGCCUGAUGCAGCCAUGCCGCGUGUGUGAAGAAGGCCUUCGGGUUGUAAAGCACUUUCAGCGGGGAGGAAGGCRAUACGGUUAAUAACCGUGUUGAUUGACGUUACCCGCAGAAGAAGCACCGGCUAACUCCGUGCCAGCAGCCGCGGUAAUACGGAGGGUGCAAGCGUUAAUCGGAAUUACUGGGCGUAAAGCGCACGCAGGCGGUCUGUCAAGUCGGAUGUGAAAUCCCCGGGCUCAACCUGGGAACUGCAUUCGAAACUGGCAGGCUUGAGUCUUGUAGAGGGGGGUAGAAUUCCAGGUGUAGCGGUGAAAUGCGUAGAGAUCUGGAGGAAUACCCGGGUGGCGAAKGGCGGCCCCCCUGGGAACAAAGAACUUGGACCGGCUCCA